rnacentral:lncRNA from 1 species
AUGCACACUCACACAUCCUCCACCCUCACGCACCUUGCACACCCCCAUAUCCCUCGCACGCUCACUGUCAACACCCCACCCACUCUCAUUCCUUGCACACCUGCAAAAAAAUCCCUCCCCCUUGCACACCUGACUCCUUUGCGCAGCUCUUACACGCUUCCUUCUCACACCAACAGCACUUGCACACCUCCAUAUCUCCUUGCACACCUGCAUCUUCGCUCAUUUGUCACACGCCAGCAGCCCCUCACUCCCCUUGCACUCCCAAACCCCUUGCACACCUCCAUGUCCCUUGCACACCCACAUCCUUCACACGCCUCCAUCUUCUUUGCAUACCUCCACACCCGCUCACCUUGCACACUCUCACCACAUGCACACCUCCACGCCCCUUGCACACUCACCGUUUGCGCAACAGCUCCUUCCACACCCACACCACUUGUGCCCCUCCAUGUCUCUUGCACACCCAUACUGCUCACAUCCAUCUCCUUUGCACUCCCACACCCCCACACCUCUUUCACAGCCCCACCCUCUUGCACACUCAAUCCUCCUGCGCAACUCAGUGCUCCUUGCACACCCAUCUCUCUCACGCACCUUCAUCUUCUUUGCACACCCAUAUCCCCAUACCCUUUGCACACCUCCCACAGCCCCCCAUGGCCCUUGCACACUCACACCUUUAGCAAACACACUCUUAACACACACAUACACUUUGCACACCUACACGCUUUUUGCACAGUCGCCUCAUGCACAGCACGUCCUUGCACACCCGCAUCCUUCCCACACACCCAUGCCUCUUGCACACUCACACCUCCCGCAGCCCUUCCACAUUCACCCCUUGCACACCUCCAUGACCCUUGCACACUCACAACCUGCACACAUCUCUGUCUCCGUUGCACACCCAGACCUCUUGCAUUCCAUGCCCCUCGCACACUCACACCUCCCACCACCCCCCACAACCCUUCCACUUUCACCCCUUGCACACCCACAUCCCUUCCACACCCCCUUGUCCCUUGCACACCCACACCUCUUGCACACUUCAUGCCCCUUUCAUACCCACAUCCCCCCCGCAUCUCCAUCUCCUUUGCAUACCCAAACCCCUUGCACACUCACACCCUUUGCACACCCAUGCCCUUUGCACACUCGCACCUCCCGCAGCCCCCACAGCCCUUCUACAAUCACCCCUUGCACACUCACACGCUUUGCACACUCACUUCUGCUGCGGCCUCCACACCCCUUGCACACCUCCAUGCCCCUUGCACACCCACAGCCCUCCAAAACCUCUGUCUCCUUUGCACACCCACGUCUCUUACACACCCAAACCUUUGA